rnacentral:rRNA from 1 species
GUGCCAGCACGUGCGGUUAUACAAAAAUUAAAUAUAAAUUUUAUUAGUAAUUAAUAAUUAAUUAAUAAUUAAUUAAAUUAAAUAAUAAAUUAUUAAGUGAAAUUUUAAUUUAUUUAAAAAUAAAUUUAUAAUUAAUAAUUAAUAAAUUUUAUUAUAAACUAGGAUUAGAUACCCUAUUAUUAAAAAUUAAAAUUAUAAUACUAAAGUAGUAAAUAAUAAUUUAUUGAAAAUUAAAUAAUUUGGCGGUAUUUUAGUUCAUUUAGAGGAACCUGUUUAAUAAUUGAUAAUCCACGAAUAAAUUUACUUAAUUUAUAAUUUUGUAUAUCGUUGUUAAAAAAAUAUUUUUAAAAAAUAAUAAUAUUUAAAAAUUAUUAAAAAAAGUAAAUCAAAUCAAGAUGCAGAUAAUAAUUAAGAAUAUAAUGGGUUACAUUAAUUUUAUUUUUAUUGAAUAAAAAAUUGAAAAAUUUAUUGAAAAAGGAUUUAAAUGUAAUUUUAUUUAAUUUGAUAAAAUGAUUUUAAAUUAAAAUAUGUACAUAUUGCCCGUCGCUUUCAUUUAUAAAUUGAGAUAAGUCGUAACAAAGUAGAGGUACUGGAAAGUGUUUCUAGAAAGAA